rnacentral:rRNA from 1 species
GACGAACGCUGGCGGCGUGCUUAACACAUGCAAGUCGAACGGAAAGGCCCUGCUUGCAGGGUACUCGAGUGGCGAACGGGUGAGUAACACGUGGGUGAUCUGCCCUGCACUUCGGGAUAAGCCUGGGAAACUGGGUCUAAUACCGGAUAGGAGCCAUUUUUAGUGUGAUGGUUGGAAAGUUUUUUCGGUGUAGGAUGAGCUCGCGGCCUAUCAGCUUGUUGGUGGGGUAAUGGCCUACCAAGGCGGCGACGGGUAGCCGGCCUGAGAGGGUGGACGGCCACAUUGGGACUGAGAUACGGCCCAGACUCCUACGGGAGGCAGCAGUGGGGAAUAUUGCACAAGGGGCGCAAGCCUGAUGCAGCGACGCCGCGGGGGGGAUGACGGCCUUCGGGUUGGAAACUCCUUUCGCUAGGGACGAAGCUUUUUGUGACGGUUCCUAGAUAAGAAGCACCGGCUAACUACGUG